rnacentral:misc_RNA from 1 species
GAUGAAGAACGUAGUGAAAUGCGAUAAGUAAUGUGAAUUGCAGAAUUCAGUGAAUCAUCGAAUCUUUGAACGCAUCUUGCGCUCCUUGGUAUUCUGAGGAGCAUGCCUGUUUGAGUGUCAUUAAAUUCUCAACCGCACUGUCUUUGAAUUGGUGUGGCUUGGAUUUGGGGGGAAAAUUGUUGUGGGCUUUUUUGUAUAGUCUGCUCCCCUGAAAUUGAUUAGCGGUACCUUUGUGGAACUGUCUACAGGUGUGAUAAUUAUCUACAUCCUAGACAUCUGCUGGAAUGCUGCUUUCUAAACCUUACUUGUAUUGACAAUCUUGACCUCAAAUCAGGUAGGACUACCCGCUGAACUUAAGCAUAUCAAUAAGCGGAGGA